UUUGACCUCUAUGGAACAGGGGGGGUCAUCGAGAUAGUCAUACCCAUUCCCUCACUGAUCUCUCAACCAUCUCUACCUUCUGGGUGGUAAAAUUUGGCAUUCAUUGAAAGAUUGCUGAGAGAUCAUUGGGAGAUCAUUAAGGGCU